AAGAAACAGAGCCAUUUUGCAGCCAGACACCCAUCCCUACAAGGUGCUGGGGCAGAAAUGGCCGUUGGUAUUUUCAUGAUAAGAAGAACACGUGUCUGAUAUUCCAAAAUGGACGCUGUGGAAGCAACAAAAACAGCUUUUCAAGUGUGACACGGUGCAUAGAAAGAUGCAGUUAUGUUAAAUCAUAGACUGAUGUGCCAGCGUUGGGAAAUAUGAUUCAGAAAUCACAACCCUGCCGUCAAGAUAUACACUUGCGCUGUGCCUUGUAGUCUACAACGUAUAGCUGUAUUUCUCCGACACCUAGAACCUUUGCUUUUAAGCACCCUAACAAUACUUUUUUGGUGCAUUUAGCGCAACAUGGAUGCUAUGAAUCCUGUUAAAAUGUGUAUCCUAGAAAUGUUUAAUUUUGUCUCCUAAUUGCCAAUAAACGUUGCUUGUUAAUAGGCC
rnacentral:lncRNA from 1 species